AGCUGUCCCUGCCAGAUAUGUGCAGCAGGUGCCUUCGAGUGUCCUGCACCAUGACCUUUGGAGGGAAUGUGAUUGGGAGGAGUGGCAGGCCCCUCUGUCAGCUCUAAGUGCUGGGUCUUGGGCAGCUAGGUGACCCAAGCAGCUGAGGCCAGGCUGAGGAUCUUCAGACCAAAUGCCAGGGGCAGAUCUGAGCUCACAGGUGGCUUUCGUCCUGGGUGAUCUAAAGGUGACUGUAAUGGAGGGGCAUGGAGCCUCCACAGUUAAGAGUCCACCCCAAUGUUUGAGUUUUCCUACUGGAAGCCAUAUUUUCUCCUGAUCUCUGGAUCCAUGUGUGCAGAGGGUGUGGCAAUGAGAAGGUAGCCUUGUCCUUGGCAACACCUCCCUCAUGGUCAUUGGUCCCAGAGUGGUCAGCACUCCAUAACCCCGGAAGGUCAUCUAUGCCCUACUUGAUUCUAGCUCCGGCCACAGGGAGGUAAACAGCCGGUGUGUGGCCACUGAGGUUGCCAGAGGCCACAGGCACACCACUGUCUUCCGUUAGAUAUGUCUGUCAUACAUUAAGGCUUUAUUGCAGGAUGUGGUGUUUAAAUAAAAGCCUUAGUGUUUUGGAAUUAGGUUUGACUGAGCAGUAAAACUAGAGUUUGCAGGGAGCGAGCCUCAGCCUCCUUGGUUAUAAAUCACCUCAGCGCUCUCCACCUGCUGAAUUAGAAAUGAGUACCCCAGACACCUCCCUGCAUGUCUGCCCCCACCCCCAGUUUGUGUGAGGGCUGAUUCCCUGGUGACACUUGUGAGGGCCUGUGGUUGUGAAGUCUGGUGCAUGAGUUUUCACAGGAUGGACCGGGGAGGGACCCCAUGCCAUCAUGGUAUGCAGUUGGCCAAGAUGGUAGUCUAUGGUGUCUUUGAAUUUUCACAUGGGAAGGAGAGUUGAGGCAGGCUGGGCUGGGCUGGAACUGGGAUUCCCACAAGGACUUUCCUAGUUUGGGUAUCAUUCCACAUGCAGGCAAAGGCCGGGAUUCUAAGAGAUCAGGGAGACCAGAUGAGGCCUAUGGGGCAAAGGGAAUACCUUUCCACCUGGGUCUGACCUAGCAGGUUGGGGACUCAAAAGAGCAAGCGACUCUGAGGAGUCUUGAAUUCCUCUUUCACUGGAACAGGGCUGUGCUAAUUGAGCUCUUCAGCUUCCAGAAUGUGCUGGAAACAUUUGUGCCAUGAACAGAGUUGAUGGGGGCCUCAGUUCUGCUGAGAGAGCAAGAGACUCAAGAAUCACGGGUUUCCUAGGUUUAGGGGACCCAGUGAGCAGCAUAUUCCCUUGUUGUGGUUCAUACCUGAACUUGACUAGGACUGGACAGUCUGCAGAUUGGAUUGAGCCUCAGGAGUGUCUAAGUGAGAGGUGUGUGUGUGUGUAUGUGUGUGUGUGUGUGUGUGUGUGUGUGUCUGUGUCUGUGUGUGUCUGUGUGUCUGUGUGUGACCAAUUACUGUUUUUCAGCCAGGUGACCAAGUAAAUUGUGCCAACCUCUCUAAAGAGGGGGUCUGAUCCUGACUCCAGCUACAUGAAUAGCACCAUACCUCAAGUGGGAUAAAGCGUUUUAUGGCACAAGCCUUUCGGAGUGUGUGCCGGCUUGGUAAGGCACCGCCACGGCUCUUCAGCAAUCUCAUUUAGAAUUGUUGGCUUCAUGUGAAGAGUAGCAUUAAAUAAACCACUAUCAAGCAUGGUUAGAUUGACUGCAGGAUGGGUAUUUUAGCUGCCAUAGUUUAUGUCAACCAAAGUGAACAUUGUUAGAACUGCAUACCACCCCCCACACCAAAAUUUUACAAUUUUAAAAAAGGAGGGGACCUGAGUAAUUUUCAGGACCAGGGCACAGUAACGAAGAUUACUGGUGAGAAGUGAGGGAGGUGUGAACAAUUGCGUUCAUCGCUGCCACCUUAGCUGAAAGGUAACCAGCCUUCUGCAAGGCUUUGUGCUGACUCAGCAGCCAUGCAGUUCUGAUUGCAGACAGUCUCACUCUCUACAGCACAGCGCUGCUCCUUGCUAGAUGUUCAUGGGCAGGGCACUCUCCUUGGGGUGGCCGGACUCGAGUGUGGUGUGGACCGGUAGAAGUAGGCUGUAGGAUGAGAAUACCCAGCUUUAUAAAGAACUUCAGUCUUGCCUAGUAUCCUUACCUAGCCAGCAAGCUCAGCCCAGUGUCCUGGGUGAAUCACACUUGGAAAGGGACAGGCAUGGCUUUCAGGCAGGGAAGGGAGCAAAGGGUCAGUACAGGCAGUUCUCAGAUGCUGGGCUGGCUGCUCCUUCCUGGGCUCAGGACCUGGCCAACCAGACUCUGGGUUUGGAAGGCUCUCUGAGGAGGCUGGUAGGUGACCAGUGAGGAAGGUGUCCUUAGCACUCCCAGUUCAAGGCUGGCUGUGCCCCUGCUGGUGCCGCUGAGCCUGUGGGAGGGGCAGCAGCUACAGCAGCUGGAAUGGUGCAGGCUGCUGCAGAGCUGCUGCUGGGUGCUGCAGUGCAGCCGCAGCCGCAGGCACAUGCAGGGCUGCGUGUCUCAAGGGCAGAGAUGAGAGGCCACCUACAACAGAUCUUCAGAUCUGUGGGCAGGGUGGGCGUUCUGUGAGGUGGCCACUGCACGCUGCAAGAGCUGUGAUGUGGGCUGGUGUCUUCAGGUCCCCAGAGGUCUGCUGAGGCUUGGGGGCAGGUCAGUUACCUGCUGGGUGGACAGCCCCACAGGUUACAGCUGUGGGCGAUGGGAAGGGACAGAGGUAGUGGCACACAGCCUCCCAGGCUUGCUCUGUAUGCCUGGAGAGAACAGCAAAGAGGAAGCCCUAAUGCUGGAGUGCUGAGAUAGAGAUUGUGGUCUGUUCCCGAGCCAAGAGGGGCCCUCACAAAGUGGUUCAAAGUCUAAGAUCUCCUUCUCUGAGGCCAAACCAGGAUCUAAGGUUAGAAUAGUGGUUCUUCCUGGUGCUGGGCAAACAUGUGGGCAGGUGCAUGUGUCCGUGGAGGACAGAGUCAGGAUAAAUGGGACAGGGAACCGGAGUAUUUUUAACUGCAAGAAGGGGAGAGGGCAGAUGUCCUGAAGCCUGUCAUGGGGGUUUCAUGGGGACACUGUGAGGCUCAAGGACAUCCAGGACAGAUGUGCCACCUGGACCCUGUCCUCCUGGCAGCCCCAUGUGUCCUCAGUCAUGCCCAGAUAUGGCCACAGGGCAGUGUGUGUCUCCCCAAUCUUGUCCAUGUCAUGGCUGGUAUAAAUAGCCGCAUUCUCAGCUGUCCUGUUGGAGAGGCUGGACUUGGGUGACUUGGGGCUGCAGAGGCCCAGGAGUGCUCCCUUGAACCCUGAUGCCUCCCAAGUGUCCCUAGUCAUCAGCGGGAGCCUGGGUGUGGCUCUGAGCCCACUGUUUUCUGUGUUUUUCUUCUUCUGUACCCCUUUCCAGGCUGUUGAGUCCAGGUGGAAUCUGGUGGCUUCCUCUUGUCCUUUUUCAAGGGCACAGUGUGGAUUUUGCUCACUGAAGGAGGGCAGAAGAGGAAGAGUCCCAGUUCUUGGAGUUGGCACAGGAGACAUUCUGGUCCCGCCACCUUGGACUCAGUCCUGUGGCAGGCCUAAGUUAUUAUAAGGGUCCUGCACACCCUGCUUUGAGAUCUCCCUAGAUCACACUUUGAGGUUCCCCUGGUGUCGCUCACUUUUGUCUCAUCAAGUGAGUUUCCAGUGGUGAGAUUCCAAACAUCACUAGAUGAGGUCCCUAUAUGAGGGGGUAAAAUGUUCAUCUGUUACCCCUCAAACGCAGGGUGCCCCUUUCAUGUCUGAAGACAGUAACCUGUCCUGCCAUGUCUCUGCAUCCUGGUAGUCCUCUCAAGCCAUAGGGAGACUAAGAACACGACAGAGGUUAGAGAGCAGCGUCAUUGUUGUACGUUACCUGGGCCUUCCAUGGCAUCCUAAACCCCAUGGUGGCUGAACAGGACCCCUGAUGUGUAAUCUGACAGCAUGUCUGAAUCCCAGGCUCUGAGCCCUGGUGGCUGCAGGGUCUGUCUCUGCAGGAAGAUGGGGUGCAGCAUAUUCAUGUGGCAUACCUGUCCUGCCCAUAUCAGGGGCUCUAACCAGACUCUUGACAAGCUACCUUUUUUUUUCUCUUCUUGGGAUACAUCAGUCCUCCAGAACAGAAAUUCUCCCUGACUUCCAAGUUCCAUGAUUGAGUUCUUAGCUAGUUUUUUCCUUGAGUAGACUCAGUGAUUACUAUGGCCCUAUCUUUGAGCUAAUAAGGCACACACACACACAAAAAUCUGUCUUUUGAUUUUUGCAAAGAACAGCAAAAACAAUCGUGUGUCCCCUCCCACCCUGCCUCCUCUGCCUGCCCCCUUGUUCCGUGGGUCUAUUUCAGGUGAAAUUUAUCUCCAGGAAGGGCCUCAUCAAUUUGCCAUGCUCCUUUGUUGACAAGUUUAUUAAAAAUCCAGGCAACUCUGUAUUAAACUUUUAUCAGUGUUGAGAAAAAAUACAUUUUUUGAACAGACAGAAAAGUUAUGGAUUUGGGCUGAAUGGGUCUUGGUGGUGUCUGGCUGAGUCAGCACUGCUGAUACAAAGAAAUGGUGCUGCUCGUAGGCUAAGAGUUCCUCCUGCUUUUCAGUUACGGCGUUUUCUGGGGAUUGCCCACGGGACUUGGUACCCCCAAACAGAACUUCCAGAAAGUUCCUGAGAAGCAGUCCUGGCCAGGGCUGCUCAGACCCACUGGGUGUCUGUAAUUCUUUGCUAUCUAUUUUAAUGAUGAGCCACAAUACAGAGUUGAAUAUUAAUUUUGUGGCAAAUCUGCUUGCUAGUGGGCAAUGUCACUAUGUAGAGAAAUGUUAGGUCAUUGGUGCUCACAGAAAGCACCGAGCGGGAGUUGGCGACAUUCUCCUGAGGUGGGAGUGGGGACAGUGGGGGUCAGAAACCUGCCAUGGGCUAGGGUGCUGCCCUGUGCUAGUCCAGCUGGCUGUGUUGGCGUAGGAGGAUGCAAGGUCCCCAGACAGGCUCCUAAGACUUUGUGAGAACUCUAUCGACAGGUACAGCUGAACCUGCUCUGUGGCCUCUGGGCAGUGGCUGGCUACACAUGUGACUAGGUGUUGGUUGUCCUUGAGCAGGAGUGUUUGGUAUUAUAAUCUCCUGAAGGACUCAUCAUGCCCACUGUGUUAGGGCAAGCAGCACGCCUCCCUGAAGGUGGCUGUGUAGUUUCUGCCCAAAGCAGUCAUUGUUCUUGGUGUCCUGGGGUGAGACUGAGGGUGCUGGAUGAAGGAGCAUGCUCUCGCUGUCCUUGUCGGCCAUACAGCGGGGAACUAUGACAGGCAUGGAAAGUCUGGCCCUCAGACGCAGGGUCUUAAAUCCAGGUCCUUACUUCUCCCUACACUUUUCACGUUGAGAAACUGAGCCCCAGAGAGGCCCGGGAAACGCCCAAUUCCCUCUAGUUUGGAGUGUGCUACUCCAGAGUCGGAGGUCAUUCUCUGUCUCAAAGGUCAGGCCUGGGGACAGACAGCUUGAGUGACAACAGUGAUCCUGCUGAGCGCUCACUGGCGACUGCUUCUGCUCCCAGAGGCUGCUGUGCUACCUCCCAGCAGCGCCCCACGGGGAUCCUGGGCCCCUGGCAGAUGCAGGAGGGCUUCCUGGUGAGGUGGCAGCUGAUGCUGUGCUCAAUGUCUGUGGAGCCUCAAGGGGCGAGAGUGAGGCGGGCCUGUGUGCCGGGAACUGCCGGCAGUGAGUGUGCUCCCUGCUCCAUCGCCAUUGCUCUUUGCUCCAAUUAUAACUAAUUGAGUGUGUACUGCAUUUUCAUGGCAUCUAAUUUCCCAUUGAUUGUACCGGGGCUGCUGGUGUUUUCAGCAGCGGACACCCAUGUCUAGUGUCCGUUGCUGCUUGAAAGUGCUGAGUAUACUUCUCCCACACGGGAUGACUCCAUCAGCAGACGUUUUAAAGCCCCUCCCCCCCUUUUUUUUAACUGGUCCAUAAAAUUUGCAAACCAUAGUACCUACAGGGCCGUCCUGUUUGCUUUGGAAACCCAGUAAAGAGUGGAUUCCCAAAAAAGCCAUGCCUGCGGGUUCCAGCACCAACCUUGCUGUCCUAGCGAAUGCUGCAUUUGCCAGCCAUGGUUGGUGUCUCUCUGCUCAGCAUCCCCUGCUAGCCGGCUUGCUUCCUAGGGUGGGCAGGGGUGCAUCGCGGCAGAGCGGUACUUUACUACAGUGAAACUUCUCAUGUCUUGUGUCCGAGAGGGCAAGGUAGCUGAACAAAGAUAACAGUGUGGGAAGAGGGCAGGACAGCAUGGGGUACAGCAGUUUUGGGGUGAAGUAAAUGCCCAGACCUAGGAGCAGGUGAGUCUUGUGGGAAUGUCAUAGGUCCUGGAGGUUUUGGAGCUGUGUGAUGUGAGCAUCUUUUUGUUGUUGUUCAAAAGAGAAGAAAACAAUAGCCACAGGGAGUUCAGGGAGUCCCAGAGACCUGGGCAGCUUCUAAUGGAGGCUGAGAUCAAGGGCAGAACUGUCCACCGUGACCAAUGGGGGCAAGACACGGAGGUUGCCAUCUCUACAGGCUUCUGUGUCAUGGUGUCUGAGGAGACCCAGGCUGAUCCCUUCAAACCCACAAACCAGUGUGUUGGCUACUCACUCAGCAGAAUGACUGGGAGGCAUUCCAUACAGGGUAAGGGGAGCGAAGAUCCUGGGUGGGCAGAUCAGGGUGGUGACUGGGGGAUGCAGCUCGGUGUCCCCCAGCUGCAUGACAUGGUUGUGUCAAGCUGCAGGUAGACAUGAGCUGGUGGCACUUCAGCUGUGUUGGAUGACAGAGAUGUUAGCUCUGGGUGGUGACUCAACUCUUGGUUAAGGCCAUGUAUGGACACACCGUGCUGGUCUGUGGUGUGUGUGGAGGUUCUGGUGUCUGUGAGUGACAUGAAGUCUGGCUGACAGUGUUUACUCUCCUCCCUACGCUGCUAAGUGUAGUAGUAGUUCAGGGCCCAUGUCCUUGAAAUAUUCAGCUCCUGUCACUUUGCUUCCCACAUGUCCUUGAGCCAGGGCUGGCAGGGGCCACAGUGGGGCCUAAUGUCCCAUUAAGUCUGAGCCCAUCUGAGGAGUGCUGAGACAGUCUAGGAAGGAACCAAAGAUCUGUUCAUUUGGGAGAAAUUCCUCUAAUCUGGUGAUAUCUGGACAGAAAUAAGGGCCUUCACAGGGUAAAGGAGAAUGCCAGCUCUGUCUUCCUGUGACCCUGCUCCUUGGCAAAAUGAAAUUGUGCCCAAGGGUUGUGUAUGUGGAGUAGCACUGGAGUGAGAUUGGACAUGACACAUCAGGGCAAUGGUACGUGUGGUCCUCUUCCUUGGUCCCCAGCAUCGUAGCUAAAGGCUCAGGGCCAGACUUGGGGCUAAUUCUACCUCUUGUCAAAUCUUCCACUCCAUUAGCUAUAUUGACAACAUAGAUAAAGGGGUGAAUGUGGCCAGCAGCAAAGUCUGAAACAUUUUCAUUAGGGCCUCUAGGGGUGGGCUGGGAGCCUGGAGUUUGCUCUGCACUAGGAACAAGGAUCGGAGAGCCAUGUUCUGAGCUUGAGGCUAGUGGCUGGAAGACCUCUGUAUCUGUGCCGGCUGAAAGGCAGGGCCUACCCCCGUGACUCUAGGGACUCCCUGAGUGGAUCUUUCUGGAGGAGGUCAUGCAUCAGGGAUGCUUGGAGAAGACCACCUUGAACACAGGCUGGAGUGGGUCUGGUGUAGGCUGAGGUUGUAGGGGUUACCCAACAGUUCUUAGAUGAGUUGUAUUCCCUGAGGGGAUACACACACACACACACACACACACACACACACACACACACACACACGACAUCAUGUUCCCUGUGCUGCAGAGGAUACUCUCACCUCACAUCCUUGUUCCUGGUGAAUGAGUGUCACUGGGAAAAAACAGUUUUCUUAAAGGGAGUGUGAACCUUCUGAGUCACUGAGUAAGAACUGUGAAGUGAUUGGUUGAUAGGGAUAGAGGACCAGGACAAGGACACUGGGCCUCUUCUGUCCUAUGUCAUCUCUCACACCACAAAAACCAGGCUACACUGGAAUAUUCCAGCUCCUGCCCACCCAAAGUCAUGUAUGGUGUCUGAGCUACCCUUGCUUCCAAGGUCACUACAAGCCAGGGCUGGCUGCCCAGUCACAGAGCCCAUGGCUAACCGAGAGAAAUAGCCUUGCCUUGACCUAGGGAAAGUGCAUCUGGCUGAUGCAGGCAGGGUCAAGUGUAAAAACUUGUGAAGUCUUCAAUACGCUUAUGUGAGUCCAUGGGUCAGAGGCUCAAUGGUCUUGGGUGCAUCCCAGAAAGUAGUGACCAGACAGGACACGGGGCAACGCUGGGGUAUAUGUGGGUCUGUGACAAGUAAGAUGGAGGUUGUGGGACCCAACCAAAGGCAUAAGGACAAAGAACUGCCUUCCCCAAGGUUCUGGGGCACAGAGAGGGUCUAAAUGUAUGUGUGUCCCUGCAAACCCAAAGCCCUUGAGUCUGCACGGGUUCUUGGAGAAAGGAGGGCCUGGGGUCUGAGCCCAGCCUGACAGGCCGCCUUCGUCCUGGAGCAGCUCCUCCCGGUGGACCUGAAGCCAAAUGCUUUGCUGAAGCUGGUAAAAUGGAACCAAAUCAGCUGUUGGAUGGAUUUGGUCCCCUUCAACCAGCUGUAGCUGCGCAUUGAUGACGCCGCCCAGUCCAGCCAGAGACACAGCUGCCGCAGGGACUCUUCAAAGGCUGCAAGGAGGCCUCAGCAGUGCAGCUCCAAGGAAGCCUGGUCGUGUGCACCGCCUGGGUCCCUGAGUGGCCCUGGGUUGCAAUCUGGGGCUCCUCUUGUUUCCACCACAGGCAAGUGGAGGAGGAAGCUGACAUCUCCCCAAGCUCUGGCCGACCCAGCCCAGGUCAUUUGCCAGGUGGCUGUGAAAAUAAAUGUUCUUUUCACACCAGA